rnacentral:rRNA from 1 species
GACGAACGCUGGCGGCGUGCCUAAUACAUGCAAGUAGAACGCACAGUUUAUACCGUAGCUUGCUACACCAUAGACUGUGAGUUGCGAACGGGUGAGUAACGCGUAGGUAACCUGCCUGGUAGCGGGGGAUAACUAUUGGAAACGAUAGCUAAUACUGCAUAAUAUUAAUUAUUGCAUGGUAAUUAAUUGAAAGGUGCAAUUGCACCACUACCAGAUGGACCUGCGUUGUAUUAGCUAGUAGGUGAGGUAACGGCUCACCUAGGCGACGAUACAUAGCCGACCGGAGGGGGUGAUGGGCCACCCGGGAACGGAGACCCGGCCCAGACUCCUAGGGGGGGCAGCAGUAGGGAAUCUUCGGAAAGGGAGGAAAGUCUGACCGGGCAACGCCGGGGGGGUGAAGAAGGUUUUCGGAUCGUAAAGCUUGGUUGUAAGAGAAGAACGGGUGUGGGGGUGGAAAGUUCCCCCUGGGACGGUAUUUUACCAGAAAGGGACGGCUAACUACGU